CUAGCAUAUCAAUAAGCGGAGGAAAAGAAACCAACAGGGAUUGCCCUAGUAACGGCGAGUGAAGCGGCAACAGCUCAAAUUUGAAAUCUGGCUCUCGGGCCCGAGUUGUAAUUUGUAGAGGAUGCUUUUGGCAAGGUGCCUUCCGAGUUCCCUGGAACGGGACGCCAUAGAGGGUGAGAGCCCCGUCUGGUUGGACACCGAGCCUCUGUAAAGCUCCUUCGACGAGUCGAGUAGUUUGGGAAUGCUGCUCUAAAUGGGAGGUAUAUGUCUUCUAAAGCUAAAUACUGGCCAGAGACCGAUAGCGCACAAGUAGAGUGAUCGAAAGAUGAAAAGCACUUUGAAAAGAGAGUUAAAAAGCACGUGAAAUUGUUGAAAGGGAAGCGCUUAUGACCAGACUUGGGCUUGGUUGAUCAUCCGGCGUUCUCGCCGGUGCACUCUUCCAGUUCAGGCCAGCAUCAGUUUGCCCCGGGGGAUAAAAGCUUCGGGAAUGUGGCUCCUCCGGGAGUGUUAUAGCCCGUUGCAUAAUACCCUGGGGCAGACUGAGGACCGCGCUUCGUGCAAGGAUGCUGGCGUAAUGGUCAUCAGCGACCCGUCUUGAAACACGGACCAAGGAGUCGUCUUCGUAUGCGAGUGUUCGGGUGUCAAACCCCUACGCGUAAUGAAAGUGAACGCAGGUGAGAGCUUCGGCGCAUCAUCGACCGAUCCUGAUGUUCUCGGAUGGAUUUGAGUAAGAGCAUACGGGGCCGGACCCGAAAGAAGGUGAACUAUGCCUGUGUAGGGUGAAGCCAGAGGAAACUCUGGUGGAGGCUCGCAGCGGUUCUGACGUGCAAAUCGAUCGUCAAACAUGGGCAUGGGGGCGAAAGACUAAUCGA
rnacentral:rRNA from 1 species